rnacentral:rRNA from 1 species
GUGGGGAAUUUUGGACAAUGGGCGCAAGCCUGAUCCAGCCAUGCCGCGUGCGGGAAGAAGGCCUUCGGGUUGUAAACCGCUUUUGGCAGGAACGAAACGGCGUUCGCUAAUACCGAGCGUUAAUGACGGUACCUGCAGAAUAAGCACCGGCUAACUACGUGCCAGCAGCCGCGGUAAUACGUAGGGUGCAAGCGUUAAUCGGAAUUACUGGGCGUAAAGCGUACGCAGGCGGCUAUGUAAGACAGGUGUGAAAUCCCCGGGCCUAACCUGGGAACUGCAUUUGUGACUGCAUAGCUAGAGUCUGUCAGAGGGGGGUGGAAUUCCACGUGUAGCAGUGAAAUGCGUAGAGAUGUGGAGGAACACCGAUGGCGAAGGCAGCCCCCUGGGAUAAGACUGACGCUCAUGUACGAAAGCGUGGGGAGCAAACAGGAUUAGAAACCCGAGUAGUCC